AUUGAACGCUGGCGGCAGGCCUAACACAUGCAAGUCGAGCGGAUGAAGGGAGCUUGCUCCUGGAUUCAGCGGCGGACGGGUGAGGAAUGCCUAGGAAUCUGCCUGGUAGUGGGGGAUAACGUCCGGAAACGGGCGCUAAUACCGCAUACGUCCUGAGGGAGAAAGUGGGGGAUCUUCGGACCUCACGCUAUCAGAUGAGCCUAGGUCGGAUUAGCUAGUUGGUGGGGUAAAGGCCUACCAAGGCGACGAUCCGUAACUGGUCUGAGAGGAUGAUCAGUCACACUGGAACUGAGACACGGCCCAGACUCCUGCGGGAGGCAGCAGUGGGGAAUAUUGGACAAUGGGCGAAAGCCUGAUCCAGCCAUGCCGCGUGUGUGAAGAAGGUCUUCGGAUUGUAAAGCACUUUAAGUUGGGAGGAAGGGCAGUAAGUUAAUACCUUGCUGUUUUGACGGUACCAACAGAAUAAGCACCGGCUAACUUCGUG
rnacentral:rRNA from 1 species